GAAAAGGGAAGAAAUGCUGAUAUAUUGCCUAAAAAAGACAGUGAACAGUUAAAAAGAAAAGAAAAGGAAUGUGGGAAAGAAGUUGAAACAACAACUCAAACAGACUCUGAAAUCACUGGUCACAGAAUUGAGGACAUUAGGAAAGAAUUUGGAUCAGGUUGUGCAGAAGCGAAGCGAUACCCACAAGCAACUUUCUGAAGAGCAGAAUGCCAGAAUAUUACAAGAUGAGAUUCUGACCAGUAAGCAAAAGGAGGUCGAAGGGGCUCAAAAGAAAAUGAAUUCUGAGAAGUAACUGCAAUUUGAUGGAGGAGGACUAGAAGUAGAAUCAGAAGACCUGGGGAAAAUCCUGCAUCUUGCAUAUAUUUCAGUCUCUCCUCUUCAGAAUUGCGACCUUAAAUGAGUUCAGUAAUAUUUCUCAAAGCCAUGAGAAAGAAGAAGACCUGUUGCAUAAAAAUAGUAUGUUGCAGGAAGAAAUUGCCAUGCUAAGACUGGAACUAGACACAAUAAAACAUCAGAACCAGCUGAAAGAAAAGAAAUAUUUGAAGGAUGUUGAAAGUGUGAAAUAAAAGAAUGACAACCUUCAAAAUAUGAUAAAACUGAAUGAGGAAACAUCAACAAAAAUAGUAUUUCAGUACAGUGGACAGCUUAGCAUUUUGACAGCUAAGAAUAAAACUCAGUUCUCAACUUGAGAAUGUAAAACACAACAUGGAAAGACUGGAAAUGGAAAUUCAGUCAUAUCGAUGCAGGCUGGCUGCUGCCGUACAUGAUUGUGAUCAAAGUCAGACAGCAUAAGAAAACCUAGAACUUGCUUUCCAGAGAACAGGACAUGAAUGGGUUCAUUUACAGGAGAAAAUGAAUUCUGAUAUGUCUAACCUAAAAGAUAACAGAUUGUUUCUGAAAAAACUCUCUAAUGCUGACAGUAAAAUUAACAGCCUAAAAAUUAAGUUUCAUCAUGCAAGAGAAACACUCAGAGAAAAGACGUCAGUUUUAGAAUGUUUCCAAAGAGACCUUGGCCAAACACAGUGUCAAAAGAAAGAAAUUGAACGAAUGUAUAAAAAUGAACAAAGCAAAGUAAAUAAAUACGCUGAAGAAGCAGGAAUCUAUAGAGGACAGAUGUGCUCAACUACAAAGUGAAAAUAGGUUGCUUCAACAGCAACUGGAUGAUGCCCACAAGAAAGCUGACAAUCAAGAAAAGACAAUCAGUACUAUCCAAGACCAAAUCCAUGCCGUUGUAAAAAAAUCUAGCUGGGAGUGAAAUGCAGAGUCUUCUGCUAGAAGAGAAAAACAAAGACUUAAUCAAUGU
rnacentral:lncRNA from 1 species